UACGUAGGUGGCGAGCGUUGUCCGGAUUUACUGGGUGUAAAGGGUGCGCAGGCGGGUUAUCAAGUUGGGUGUGAAAUCUCCGUGCUUAACACGGAGCUUGCAUUCAAAACUGGUGAUCUUGAGUGAGGUAGAGGUAGGCGGAAUUCCCGGUGUAGCGGUGAAAUGCGUAGAGAUCGGGAGGAACACCAGUGGCGAAGGCGGCCUACUGGGCCUUUACUGACGCUGAGGCACGAAAGCAUGGGUAG
rnacentral:rRNA from 1 species